GAUGAACGCUAGCGACAGGCUUAACACAUGCAAGUCGAGGGGCAGCAUAGAAGUAGCAAUACUUUGGUGGCGACCGGCGCACGGGUGAGUAACGCGUAUGCAACCUACCUAUCAGAGGGGAAUAACCCGGCGAAAGUCGGACUAAUACCGCAUAAAACAGGGGCACCGCAUGGUGAUAUUUGUUAAAGAAAUUCGCUGAUAGAUGGGCAUGCGUUCCAUUAGGUAGUUGGUGAGGUAACGGCUCACCAAGCCGACGAUGGAUAGGGGAACUGAGAGGUUGGUCCCCCACACUGGUACUGAGACACGGACCAGACUCCUACGGGAGGCAGCAGUGAGGAAUAUUGGUCAAUGGGCGGGAGCCUGAACCAGCCAAGUCGCGUGAAGGAAGAAGGAUCUAUGGUUCGUAAACUUCUUUUGCAGGGGAAUAAAGUGCAGGACGUGUCCUGUUUUGUAUGUACCCUGAGAAUAAGGAUCGGCUAACUCCGUGCCAGCAGCCGCGGUAAAACG
rnacentral:rRNA from 1 species